GGGAUUGUGGCUCAGUGGUAGAGCACUUGCCUUACAUGCGUGAGGUACUGAGUUUAACCUCAGCACCA
rnacentral:tRNA from 1 species